AAAUUAUUCUGACCUAAAAAAAAGAGUCGAAGUCGGUUUCUGUAAAAAUGAAGUUUUUGAUUGCUGUAACACUUUUGUUGUUAAUUGCUAAUAUCAAUGGGCAAGGUGAAAAUCCUACAGGAGAGAAUUGUGAAUCAGUAACAUGUGAAGACCCAGGACAAUGUCAGUAUGGCCGAAAACCAAUUUUCCCAGACGGUGGAUGCUGCCGCUCAUGUCUACCUGAUUGUACAAAAUUGUUUCCGGAUGGAUGUCCGAUUCCUAAGUGUGAGUAUGGUGCUGACGUAGAUGUUUGUGGCUGUGACCUAUGUUGGCCUGCACCUCGAUAACUCAAUAGUUCGUUGCUUGUUAAUUUUGUUCCUUUGACGAGGGAGUGCUUUCGGCUCGGGAUUUAAUACCAUUCGUCGACACAGGCAGUAAUAAAAAAUUAUUUCAAAU